rnacentral:rRNA from 1 species
UGGGGAAUAUUGGACAAUGGGCGCAAGCCUGAUCCAGCCAUGCCGCGUGAGUGAUGAAGGCCCUAGGGUUGUAAAGCUCUUUCACCGGUGAAGAUAAUGACGGUAACCGGAGAAGAAGCCCCGGCCAACAUCGUGCCAGCAGCCGCGGUAAUACGAAGGGGGCUAGCGUUGUUCGGAUUUACUGGGCGUAAAGCGCAUGUAGGCGGACUAUUAAGUCAGGGGUGAAAUCCCGGGGCUCAACCCCGGAACUGCCUUUGAUACUGGUAGUCUUGAGUUCGAGAGAGGUGAGUGGAAUUCCGAGUGUAGAGGUGAAAUUCGUAGAUAUUCGGAGGAACACCAGUGGCGAAGGCGGCUCACUGGCUCGAUACUGACGCUGAGGUGCGAAAGCGUGGGGAGCAAACAGG